rnacentral:sRNA from 1 species
AAUAAUUGAUGUAACCACAAUUUUAUUGUUUUGUUAAUAACAUGUGAAAAACCUAAAAAUAUCAAAUUCUUUUUUCCAAAAUAAUAAUCUAUUAGAAACACAUGAAUAUUUAAUUAUUUAUAAAAUUUCUUAACUGUUUAGUUUUGUAUAAGAUAUGGAGAACUGGUAUGGAAAACUGAAAAUCGACCGAGAUGACAAGGCUAAGAUAUGAGUCUAAAAAAGAUUAUUUUUCAUUCUUAUGUUUUACUUUCUUUUUUACUUAUUAUUUGUUUGAGACAGAGUUGGAAGAUGGAAGCCAAAACUGGCUUAACUAAGCCAAAAAAUUUAUUUUUCGUUCUUAUGUUUUGCUUCUUUUUUUCUACAUUAUUGCUCGACGCAUGGACGAGCUUGCUCGCGGUGGUACAGACAGUAGCACACUGCCGCAACCACCACGAUCACAAAUGCAAAUGCCGCCAUGACUCCGAACAACACCACUAAGCCGAAAGAAGAGUGAGACUGAUGUGGUGGAAGCGGAAAGUCUUGAUUCGUUGAGUUAAUCAUGGUGAGUGAGUUGCUUUUCCUUCACUCUUCUUCUUAUCAUUAUAUAGAACAGUGAAGAUCAAAACCUGCAACCUACAGACUGUGAAUUGCCAAGAGUGUCAAUUGUAGUUGAAAACUUGUUUUUGGUUUUUCUAGUAAGUUUGAGAUAAACGUAUUACCUAGAAUUCAAAAGUGAUAGAGCCGUUAAAAAUUUUCCGAAUUGUUGAUCUUUAUAGGUUUUGAAUUGUUGAUCUUUUAUUGGGAAUUCUAGAUAAUGACAAGGCCCGCCUCGUUGCCCGAUUCCAAUGAAACAAGUCCCGUUGCAUAUUAAUUCAUAAUCAUUAAAAAUAUUUGAUAUGUAAAUUAUAUCAAAAAAU